CACGACUGAGUGACUGAACUGAGUGAGCUAUGUUGAGCAUCUUUUCAUGUAUUCGUUAGCCAUUUGUAUGUCUUUGGAGAAAUGUCUGUUUAGGUCUUUUUCCCACUUUUUGAUUGGCUUGUUUGUUUUUCUGGUAUUGAGUUGUGUCAGCUGCUUAUAUAUUUUGGAAAUUAAUCCUUUGUCAGUUUUGCCAUUUGCUAUUAUUUUCUCCCAUUCUGAGGGUUGUCUUUGUCUCCUAGAAGUACAAAUAAUCCAGAAAAAGAAAUUUUAAAUAAAAAAUGUCUUUAAAAAUAAUCUUUAUGAAGAAUAAUCUGCUGAUUCUCAUCCUGUUGGGAAGAACAAAGUACAAUAUUUGUAGUAUUAGCCGAUGACUUGAAUAGCUUUUAUAUGAUUGCCUAGGUUAUUCAGUUGUCUCUUUAAGAACCCAUCCCCCCUUUUUUUUGUAAGUUUUUUUGAUGUGGUUUUUAAAGUCUGUAUUGAAUUUGUUGCAGUAUUGCUCCUGUUUAAUGUUUUGGUUUUUUGGCCACGAGGCAUCUUAGGCUCCCUGACCAGGGAUCCCAUAACCCCUGCAUGAAAGGUGACGUCUUAGCCACUGGACUGCCAAGGAAAUCCCUAACCUUUAAUGUUUUAAAUUGUUUUUCUGACCUUUUUGAAAAGUUCAUGAAUGUUUGUUUAGUAUUGCUUUAUACCAACAGUUUUCUGUUUCCAGAUAGAAUAUUAAGCUCAUUAACAUUAAUAUUUUUAGUGGAAAAUAACUUAAGAAAUGUUUCAUUGAGAGUAGUGGUAUUGUCUGGCAUCUUUACAGAUCUCUUUUAAUAUCUUAGUGAAAGACUCGGCACUUGGGUGUUAGUAGCUCAGUCAUGUCUGACUCUUUGUGACCCCGUGGACUGUAGCCAGUUAGGCACCUCUGUGCUUGAGAAUUUCCAGGCAAGAAUAUUGGAGUGGGUAGCCAUUCCCUUCUCCAGGGGAUCUUACAUACCUAGGGUAGGAUCUUACAGACCUAGGUCUGCUGCAUUGCAGGCAGAUUCUUUACUGUCUGAGUCACCAGGGAAGUCCCUGCACUUGAAUGCAUGAUGUAAAAACUAGUAUGUUUGGUGCCACUGCCUUGAUUCAUAUAAGGCACUAACACUGCAAAUAACACACUAAGGCAAUUAAAAAUGUCAGUAUUUUUAUGAAAAUAUUUUUGAUCUUAUAGACCCUUGGAGGUGCUCAUGUUCAGAAACCAUUUCCUCUUCCCAAGGGUUCAUGUACACCCUUUUGAUAGAGAACAUGUUUUGUUUUGUAAGUUAAAAUUGUUUUAGCACAUUCUUUUCAUUUUGUUAAUGGUGUGAAGUACAAAAUUUUGAAUUUUGGUGGGUUCAAUUUGAUCAUUUUUUUCUUCCUUUCAUGGUUCUGUGUCUUUGAUGUCUUAAUAUAAGAAAUCUUUGCCUAACCCAGGGUGUCGGAUUUUUUAAUGUUUUCUUUUUAAGUUUUAUUGGUUUUGCUCUUCCAUUUAAGUCUGUGAUCUCUUUAAGGUUGAUCUGUGUAUGGUGUGAAGUAUGGUUCUUGCAUGUAGAUAACCAGUACAUGACUCUCCUUUUCACCAAAGAAUUCCCUUGGCGCCUUUGAUAACAAUCUGUUGACCAUAGUAACAGGAUUUAUGUUAGGGCUCUGCGUUCUUUGCUGUUCACCUAUGUCUCUCAUGCUAGUACUACACUGUCUUGAUAAUUGUAACUUUAUGUUGAGUAUUGAUUGAAAUCUAUGAGAAAGUCCUCCAACUUUGUUCUUUGUCAAAACUGUUUUGUUCGUUACAGGUCUUUUGCAUUUCCACAUAGAUUUUAGGAUCUACUUGUUGGCAUCUGCAAGAAAUAUGGUACAUUCUUUUUUUUAUUUAUUGAGCUUGUUCCUUCUUGGUAAAAUAAAGACUUCCUGAAGAUUUCCAAGUUAAUUCAUUUGGUGGGAUGAACAUCUGAGUGAACCCCCCCCCAACUUCAAUCUUGUGGUGUGCAUUUGCACCAGUACAGGUUUGAAUUUUGCAUUUUUUAAUCAAUUCUAUUUUCUUAACCUGAUUCCUUAUAUUUUUUUCUUAUUUUUAAUAUCACUAAGUAAUUA
ensembl:lncRNA